rnacentral:rRNA from 1 species
AUUGAACGCUGGCGGCAUGCCUAACACAUGCAAGUCGAACGGCAGCAUAAUCUAGCUUGCUGGUUAGAUGGCGCGUGUCGCGCGGGUGAGUGGUAUACAGGGACGUGUACUGUUUUGGGGGAUAUCUAGUCGGGAGAUUUGCUCAUACCGCACACGACCCGAGGGUGUGAGAGCGGGACAGCAUGGCCCCUUGCUAUAGUAGCGGCCGAUGUCUGAUUAGCUAGUUGGUGGGGUAAAGGCUCACCAAGGCGACGAUCAGUAGCUGGUCUGAGAGGACGAUCAGCCACACUGGGACUGAGACACGGCCCAGACUCCUACGGGAGGCAGCAGUGGGGAAUUUUGGACAAUGGGCGAAAGCCUGAUCCAGCAAUGCCGCGUGUGUGAAGAAGGCCUUCGGGUUGUAAAGCACUUUUGUCCGGAAAGAAAUGGCUCUGGUUAAUACCUGGCGUCGAUGACGGUACCGGAAGAAUAAGGACCGGCUAACUACGUG